rnacentral:rRNA from 1 species
GAUGAACGCUAGCUACAGGCUUAACACAUGCAAGUCGAGGGGAAACGAUAUUGGAAGCUUGCUUCCGAUAGGCGUCGACCGGUGCACGGGUGAGUAACGCGUAUCCAACCUGCCCACCACUUGGGGAUAACCUUGCGAAAGUAAGACUAAUACCCAAUGACGUCCAUAGAAGACAUCUGAAAUGGGUUAAAGAUUUAUCGGUGAUGGAUGGGGAUGCGUCUGAUUAGCUUGUUGGCGGGGUAACGGCCCACCAAGGCGACGAUCAGUAGGGGUUCUGAGAGGAAGGUCCCCCACAUUGGAACUGAGACACGGUCCAAACUCCUACGGGAGGCAGCAGUGAGGAAUAUUGGUCAAUGGGCGAGAGCCUGAUCCAGCCAAGUAGCGUGCAGGAUGACGGCCCUAUGGGUUGUAAACUGCUUUUAUAAGGGAAUAAAGUGAGUCUCGUGAGACUUUUUGCAUGUACCUUAUGAAUAAGGACCGGCUAAUUCCGUGCCAGCCGCCGCCGUAA